AUACGUAGGUGGCAAGCGUUAUCCGGAAUUACUGGGCGUAAAGCGCACGCAGGCGGCCAGUCAAGUCUGACGUGAAAGCUCCUGGCUUAACUGGGAGAGGUCGUUGGAAACUGAUCGGCUUGAGGCAAUGAGAGGGACACGGAAUUCCCGGUGUAGUGGUGGAAUGCGUAGAUAUCGGGAGGAACACCAGUGGCGAAAGCGGUGUCCUGGCAUUGACCUGACGCUCAUGUGCGAAAGCGUGGGGAGCGAACGGGAUUAGAAACCCCAGUAGUCC
rnacentral:rRNA from 1 species